rnacentral:tRNA from 1 species
CGAGAAAAUCUCUGUGAAAACCAGAGUAUUUCGA